AUACGUAUAUACGUAUCAGUCUGUAUGCCAUAGUAGUUAGUUGUUUUCUGCCGACCGAAUUAACCGGUCGGCUUCCGAGAAGCGGUCAGGAUCGUAUCAAAAUAGUCUGGUCAACAAUUCGUAGAAACGCAAAAGAGCCUAGUCUAUAAUGCGUGAUCGCGAAGCGUCCUGUCCUCUAAUGCAAUUUCCUGCCGGCAGAGAGAUACGUAGCGCUGCACGUACGUCAAACCAUAAUCCGAUGUUAUUUGCCACGGGACACAGCUGGCCGAAACUCAGGCCAAGAUGGCCGCCCGAGGUGACUGUCUUACGCGGAAACGUGAAAAUAGAGUACGUUACGAAAAAUCUAGGUCAGUUCGAGCCCUCGACACGAGUUUUUCUUUUUCUUUUAUGUAUUUAUUUUCUAAUACUUUGAUCUACUUCACCGUCUGAUAUACGUAUGCGUAUUUAAGUGGCUUUUUCUAUACUUUAUUUCAUGCUCUUUUCAAUCAGCGACGCUUUCAUGGCUUCCACGAAAACCUUUUGCGUGUAAAGCCUUAUGAAAAUUACGUUGGCAAAGCACUGAGGAAAAUUUGGAUGUCAACGAUGCGGAGGAUUACGAUAUUUUGGAUUGGAGAAGAGAGAUAUGGAGUGAAAUUUUUUUCGAGGCAAUUUAUCGACUCCCUUCGAUUAAAAUGUUCAUUGGCGACAGGAAGAGGUACGAACACGGGACCCAAACGGCCAUUUUUCUUUCCACGUUCCGAGUAAAGCUGCCUUCCAGAAAUCCAGCAGUCAUUUAGCCGGUGGUGGUCUCUUGCCGGUAAUUGAAAUCUAUCUUGAUGAAGCAAAAAAUUAAUUACCGCCGUUCGCCGAACGCAAAAGAAUACAUUAUACCAUACUGUAGGGACCCCGUAGGGCGAUUGUCGAUACUAACGAGCGAUUUCAUUGUACUCUCUUUUCAUUAAGGAUUUAGCCUCACUCUCGUUUCUACUUACCAAUCGAUUCUAGUUAAUUCGAUUAAUGGAUUUUCGUCGACCUUUUUUUUUUCAAUCGGACCAAGUUUUUGGGAUUACCUUGAAAACUUCAAUUUUAGCUGUAUAAAAAUAGGCUUUUUUUAAUUAAAAAAACGAUUUAGUAUUUUGUUAUUUGACAAUUAUGAUUUAAUAAUAAUUAGAUAGGGGUAUAUACAUAUACCAGCAUUAUUUUUUUAAAAAGAAUCCACAAGUCACAUUCAAGUACUGUUUAUAACAAGACUCGCGUGAUUGUCAUGCGCGCUUCUCGGUAGGAUGACACUGCCCGAUCAUUUAAAAUUGAUAUGUUCGUAACGUUCCUGUUUCUGUCAUUUAUCAUCCUCUUUCCCGCAUCAUAUUUCGAGGUAAACAAGUACCUCGAGAGCAAUCAAGCUCUCUCCAGUAUGAGUUUGCGUGUCUGAAAUUGUAAACGGUAAAAACAAAGUGUACAGUAUAUGUAAAAAAAAAAAAGAAGGAACAUCGUUUCGGCAUUACGGUAAUAAGAACCGUGAGAAAGAAUAUAGUAUGAGAAAGGACAAAUUUUUUGAUAAAAUUCAAAUUGAUAAAAUAUUCCAAUAACAAGUCACGUGACGACGAAGAUGCAAUUUAGAGGUCAUGCAGGAAUUAAUUAAGAAUUAAAAAAAAUUCCUUGCAAAAACUACCUGACAAAUACAUUGUAAUUCGUAUACGUCAUUUUUUUCCUCUCUUAAACAGGUAGCCUCUUUAGCUCAGUGGUAGAGCACUGGUCUCGUAAACCAGGGGUCGUGAGUUCAAACCUCACAGGAGGCAAGUUUUCGUCUUUUAUCGUUCCCGUCGUCCCUCUGCCGGCUAUUCUACGAAGCAAUUUUUGAUACGCGCAAACCACAUCGAGCGUGACUUAUUUAAAUUGUACCGAGAACCGAUCGAUUUCGUCGGCCAUUAAAGGCUGCUCGCGUACAUACGCGCCUCCUCAAAGAUCGGUCCACAGGAGCCUGGUCAAUUUUUCACGCAACCAAUUUCGACCAAUUCGAUUUUAUAACUACGUAGCCAAUAAGAACGGGUAACCAAUUCACAAAUAUCUUCAAAAAAAAAAAAAGAAAAAAAUCCAGACGAUGCAUAAAUGCAACAAACACACGUUAACCCACUGUACCAUAGAACAAAAGUGAAUCGGUUAUCACCGACUGACAGGAUAGUGAGCAUAGGACAAAAAAAAUUCUAAUCGGAAAAUCUAAUACGAAUCAAUAAUCUUAUCUCUAGAUCACUGUUUCCAUACCAUAAAAUUCUCACAGAUAAUUCCAAGUAACAUUUUUUUUUCCAAAUCAAAUUUUUUUUUCCCCCCAGUGUUCCUCGUUUGUAUCUACUUCAUUUAUCGUGAUUAAACUCCCUUUAUCGUCUCCCCGUUUCUAUUUUUUUUCCUUCUUCAUUCAUGAUCGUGAUUCGAGAUGCUUCACGAAGGAGGUGCCCCAAGAAGGAGGCUGCCCGCCUUUCGACGAAAUCGCCGCUAUCGGACGACGAAUGCCCGUGAAGAAAACGAGGCGGCUUUAGUCCCUCUCCCCGUUGAGUUCCGGCAAGUCGUUACCGAUAGGUACUUUAACGACUUUUGGAGAACCGCAGUUGCUGGAAGGAGAUAUCGAAGUCAGCAAUGCGCCUGCCGCAGCGAUUAUAUUCCAGCAGGUAGCCGUUUCGGUGUGGAUGGUUCUUUAUGUGCUAUUUAUGGAAGGUCUUCUCGGAAAUACACGGCAUAUUGCGUCCAUGAGCCCACGGCCGGAACAUCUGCGGAUGCAGUUUGGUUUGUCGAAAGGCGGCUCCUCACCCUUGGGAGGCCUGAGAAAAGGAGAAUUGAAAUGGAGGGGAGUGAAAUGGGAGAGAAAAGGUUAAACCACCGGAAGCAAGGAGAAAGUAUGAAAGCUGACGGAAGCGUCGAGGAUCCUUAGGUUAGGUUGUACCGUCGUCCUACGUCGCCACCUGGCGGAUGUAGCCAGCACUCGAAUGGAAACUGCGAAUAGGCAUUUACCAUGUGAAACUAAUAAUCAUCGGGACUCGUCGGAACUUUUACGUGCUGGUUAUGAAUAUGCAUUUUAACGAUUGGGAUCCUCCUUAUGGGGCCCCUUGGGACGGUUGAUUGUGCAGAUAAUUAUUCCGGAUGUCAAUAUGGCACCGUCGUACCUACACAUGGCAAACGUGCCACUUCCGUUGGGAAUGGGAAACGGUUGGAAUUAAGGUAAAUUGAAAGUGCUGGGUGACGCGGCGGAAAAAAAAUUCCACGUUGCACCUGCGUGUCCUGACUGUUGUUAUUAUUUAUUUGAGCUUUAUAAUAAAGUCUAAUUAUUAUCACGUAGCGCUUCGGCGAUUCUUCGGAUAAUUAUAUAUUGGAUCUAACGGAAUGUUCCGUUCGAUCUCCAGUCUAGUGAAAAUCGGACGGAACUUUCCGUUAGAUCUAAUAUGCAAUGGUAAUUUCUCAUACGAGGACGAUUCGUGCGAUCCGUUCGGUACCGGAAAAUUAACACAGGAUUUCCGAUGGUUUUCGUAUAAGCAACUGUUACGUAAUGUUGAUAGUCGUUCGUAAUCGGUAGGCAUAUAUGUUGUAUAGGCUGAUUUUUUUUGUUUACAAACCACGUAAAUAUACUUACGGAAUUCGUGGUCGGUUACAUUGUCACUUGUGGUUUCUCGGUCAAGUUCACAAUUUGUGAAUCACAAAUCGUGACACACGGCUGUUUCGGGAAUUUAUUUGCGGAUUCGCGAAAUACUUUCGUGGCUUGGACGCAUUCAAAGUCGGGCUUAAAAUUAAAUUUUUUUUUCUUCCCUUAAUAUUGUUCCUCCCGCAUAUGCCGGUUAGAUAGAAAAUUAUAUUAAACCCAUUCUCAUGAAAUAUUUUGCAGAUUUGAACGCAGCAUUGAAAGUUAGGCUUAAAAUCGAACAAUUUUUACUUUGAUAUUGCUUGUUCCGUAUAAGUGGGUUGGACAUAAAAUUUUUUUUAACGCUUUCUAUCGCGGAAUAUUAAUCGCUUACUUGGAACAGAUAAUAUUAGUCAUAAUUACUCAGGGCGAUAAAGAAGAAAUCUGCGAAUGAACUUAACUAUUCUUGAAAUUUAUUAUCCGUACAUAAAACGCACUUUACGGCUACUUUUCACGUAGCGUCUGAUUUUAAUUUUAAUAAAUCACUUUAUAUUCUUCGGAUACGAUAGACGAUAGGAAAAAAUAUAUUUUUUAUAUAUACAUAAAAAUAUCUUUUUUUUUCUUGAUGCAGUCGCAAGAUUAAGAUAUCCUACGGUUCAACAAAAUUACAUAGUACAAAGCAGCUGCGAGCAAGACACAUGUAAAACAAAAAGAUACCACGUGUAGGAAGAUAAGGUAAAAUAAAAAGAAAAAAAAAAGAAAACUUACCUUUGUACAUGUGUAUACGAACGUUAGGAAAUAUAAAAGAAAGAUAAUGCACUUUUGUUUGCAUGCACGAGUAACGAUACCGAUAAACGAUACAUACUGCUGAUAACGAUGGUACGUGUCUAAAUUGAAUAUUUAUAAAUUUAAUUUAUCCCAAAAUCAAAUAUAUGUUAUCUUUUAUAUUAUAUUCAAAUUAUAAUUAGCCACGAGGAUAGAAAUCUGCAAAAUCAACGUGACCAAUCAUAAG